rnacentral:rRNA from 1 species
UCGAGCGGUAACAGGACUAGCUUGCUAGUUGCUGACGAGCGGCGGACGGGUGCGUAACACGUAGGGAUCUACCCAGUAGCGGGGGAUAGCCCGGAGAAAUCCGGAUUAAUACCGCAUACGCCCUACGGGGGAAAGCAGGGGAUCUUCGGACCUUGCACUAUUGGAUGAGCCUGCGUCGGAUUAGCUAGUUGGUGGGGUAAAGGCCUACCAAGGCAACGAUCCGUAGCUGGUCUGAGAGGAUGAUCAGCCACACUGGGACUGAGACACGGCCCAGACUCCUACGGGAGGCAGCAGUGGGGAAUAUUGCACAAUGGGCGAAAGCCUGAUGCAGCCAUGCCGCGUGUGUGAAGAAGGCUCUAGGGUUGUAAAGCACUUUCAGCGAGGAGGAAAGGUUGGUAAUUAAUACUUGCCAGCUGUGACGUUACUCGCAGAAGAAGCACCGGCUAACUCCGUGCCAGCAGCCGCGGUAAUACGGAGGGUGCAAGCGUUAAUCGGAAUUACUGGGCGUAAAGCGUGCGUAGGCGGCUGCCUAAGUUGGAUGUGAAAGCCCCGGGCUCAACCUGGGAACUGCAUCCAAAACUGGGCAGCUAGAGUGCGGAAGGGGAGUGUGGAAUUUCCUGUGUAGCGGUGAAAUGCGUAGAUAUAGGAAGGAACACCAGUGGCGAAGGCGACACUCUGGUCUGACACUGACGCUGAGGUACGAAAGCGU